UUACAGUUGUGUUUGUGUGCUUGACGAAUCAAAAAUUCGCCAUAAAGUUUGUAAUGACGUUCCUGAUAUAAUUUAUAAAGCACAAAUCGGCGGGAAGACAACAUUCAAAACGACGUGCUGCUCGCAUUUUCGGUUUUAUUUCGGACGCGGAUUGUCGACAAACAGGAAUCCGUUUAGAAUGUCUACCAGCGCUGUAAUUCGUUCCCCCGUACAGCGUCGGCGCCCCCUCCCCAUUCCCCUCGACUCAACAAACUUGAAAUGCCCGCUUCUUCAGCAACAACAACAACAACAUGGACAACAAUCGAUGCUUAUUGAAGAUGAGGUACACGGAGUAAUUGAGCUGCCCGGCCUUAUACAAGAAAUAGUGGAGCAUCCUCUGUUUCAGCGUCUAAAGCAGGUUCAUCAAUUGGGUCUUAUACCGUGGUCAGUCGAUAAGAAAGCUAAUCACAAGCGCUACGAUCAUUGCCUUGGGGCCUACAAAAGUGCCCAGGAUCACCUGAGGGCCAUCGAACGAAAUUCGCAUUAUGAGCCAAAACUUCCGGAUUGGUGUCGUCAGGCAGUGGAGAUAGCCGCCCUUCUUCACGAUAUUGGACAUGGACCGAUGUCACAUGUCUGGGAGCUUUUAAGUCAUCAUCAAUUUAAUCACGAGGAGAACGCCUUAGCCUGUGUGGAUCUUAUUUUCAAUGAUGCCUCUAAUCAGGAGCUGGUCUCCUUGAGGGAAGAUGGAAGUGGCAGGGGAGUUCAAUUGAUAAAAGCUCUGAUCCUCGGGAGCAGUGACUCCCUUUCGUUUCCCAUGAUGGGUCAUACCUAUAUCUUUGAUAUUGUUCAUAAUCGUCGCUGCGGAUUAGAUGUCGAUAAAUGGGAUUAUCUGCGGCGUGAUAACAAACGCUUGCAAAUUCUCAGCUCAGCCGAAAUGGAUUUUGAUGAUGUAUUUCUUAAGGCCCGCAUAUCGGCAGAUGGCCAACGCAUAGAGUAUCGGUACCAGGAUUAUCAUCGCAUAUACCGCUUGUUCGAGGCAAGAACGCGUCUUCAUAUUGCUGCUUAUCAAUGUCCCCUGACAUGUGCGAUGGAUGUUAUUUUUGUCAAUGCAGUACAACGUUUGGCCCCAGAACUAUUGAACAUUCGAUCCAAGGACCCAGAUUGGCUUAAACUACAUGAUGAUCAUAUUUUAAAUAUUAUUGAAAUGGAUCCCAUAUCGAGAUAUUUAAGAGAGCCGCAACGAAUUAUAGAAGUAUCCGGCAAUGACUGUUCCGAAUCAAACAUCAUACGUGUGAACAGAAGAAUACCUGUAGCUUGGGAGGCUAUGAAAUCAGAAGAGGCUUUCGCUUUUUUUGGCAACAAGCGCAAGAAGCGUCCAAUUAAUCGAUGCGUGAACCCGACAAUAAUCAACAAGUGCUAUAAGUUAGAGUAAAAACUCAAACAAAGAAUUCCCAGUUCAUAUAUUCAUUCAUGUUAAAGCCGUCAACCAAACUAUGUAUUAAUACUCGUAAGGUUGCGCUGGGCAUUGCGAAAGUAACCAUUGCAUUCACAUUUUGUUAUCUGUUAUUUUGUUAAAUAUCGUUGAUUUCAUCAGUUAUGCAAA